AUUGAACGCUGGCGGCAUGCCUUACACAUGCAAGUCGAACGGCAGCACGGGUGCUUGCACCUGGUGGCGAGUGGCGAACGGGUGAGUAAUACAUCGGAACGUACCUUAUCGUGGGGGAUAACGCAGCGAAAGCUGUGCUAAUACCGCAUACGCCCUGAGGGGGAAAGCGGGGGAUCGCAAGACCUCGCGCGAUUAGAGCGGCCGAUGCCUGAUUAGCUUGUUGGUGGGGUAAAGGCCCACCAAGGCGACGAUCAGUAGCUGGUCUGAGAGGACGAUCAGCCACACUGGGACUGAGACACGGCCCAGAUUCCUACGGGAGGCAGCAGUGGGGAAUUUUGGACAAUGGGGGCAACCCUGAUCCAGCAAUGCCGCGUGAGUGAAGAAGGCCUUCGGGUUGUAAAGCUCUUUUGUCAGGGAAGAAACACCGGCUCUAACACAGUCCGGGAAUGACGGUACCUGAAGAAUAAGCACCGGCUAACUACGUGCCAGCCGCCGCAGUAA
rnacentral:rRNA from 1 species